GGGCUGGGAAGCUCACUCGCUGACUCAGAAGAACACUUGCUAUUGCAGAGGACCUAGGUUCUAUUCCCAGCAUCCACAUAAUAGCCCACAACCAUAUGUAAUGCCAGUCGCAGGAGGUCUGAUGCCCUCAUCCUGCCUUCAGCAGGUAGUAGGCCUACACAUGAUGCACAUACAUGUAGAGGCAAGACAUUUAGAUAUAUAAAAUAAUUUUAAAACAAAAAAGAUAUAACUAUACUAAGAUAUAUGUCUUAAGAAAUCUGAAACCCAAAUUAUAGAUCUUUUGACUUUGAAUUGAUAGGGUGACUUCUUUUUACUUUUUUUUUAAGUAUGAGAAGUGAGUUUGGGCCUAGGGGUAUGGCUCAGCAGAAGCUUGUCUAGCAGGCAUGAGGUCCUGGGGGUUUGAUCUCUAAGCUCUGUCAAUUAAAUAUUGGUGGUGUACACCUGUAACCCCCAGCAUUUGGGAAGAGGAAGCCUCAGAGGUAAGGAAAGGACUUGUUCAUUUUCUCCCUCAUCUGCUGUCAGGGCACCCACCACAGAGGAGGACAAAAAGGCAGCUGAAAAGAAACGGGAAGACAAAGCCAAGAAGAAGCACGAUAGGAAGUCUAAGCGCAUGGAUGAGGAAGAGGAGGACAAUGAAGGCGGGGAGUGGGAACGGGUCCGAGGCGGCGUACCACUUGUUAAGGAGAAACCAAAAAUGUUUGCCAAGGGAACAGAGAUCACUCAUGCUGUUGUCAUCAAGAAGCUGAAUGAGAUUCUACAGGUCAGAGGCAAGAAG
rnacentral:lncRNA from 1 species